rnacentral:rRNA from 1 species
UACGUAGGGGGCGAGCGUUGUCCGGAUUUAUUGGGCGUAGAGAGCUCGUAGGCGGUUCGAUAAGUCGGACGUGAAAUCUCCACGCUCAACGUGGAGGGGCCGUUCGAUACUGUCGUGACUCGAGUCCGGUAGGGGAGUGUGGAAUUCCCGGUGUAGCGGUGAAAUGCGCAGAGAUCGGGAGGAACACCCGUAGCGAAGGCGGCACUCUGGGCCGGUACUGACGCUGAGGAGCGAAAGCGUGGGGAGCAAACAGG